rnacentral:rRNA from 1 species
GACAGAGGGUGCGAACGUUGCUCGGAAUUACUGGGCGUAAAGCGCGUGUAGGCGGGUGAUCAAGUCAGGUGUGAAAUCCCCAGGCUCAACCUGGGAACUGCACUUGAAACUGGUUGCCUUGAGUGUUGGAGAGGGAAGCGGAAUUCCUGGUGUAGAGGUGAAAUUCGUAGAUAUCAGGAGGAACACCGGUGGCGAAGGCGGGUCUCUGGGCCGAUACUGACGCUGAGGAGCGAAAGCGUGGGGAGCGAACAGG